GGGUUGUGAGGUUAAGCGACUAAGCGUACACGGUGGAUGCCCUGGCAGUCAGAGGCGAUGAAGGACGUGCUAAUCUGCGAUAAGCGCCGGUAAGGUGAUAUGAACCGUUAUAACCGGCGAUUUCCGAAUGGGGAAACCCAGUG
rnacentral:rRNA from 17 species